AGGACGAACGCUGGCGGCGUGCUUAACACAUGCAAGUCGAGCGAGGCCCUCUCUUCGGAGAGGUGCCCUAGCGGCGAACGGGUGAGUAACACGUGGGCAACCUGCCCCUAGCACUGGGAUAAGCCCGGGAAACCGGGUCUAAUACCGGAUAUGACCUUCAAGGGCAUCCUCGAAGGUGUAAAGGAUUCUGGCUAGGGAUGGGCCCGCGGCCUAUCAGCUUGUUGGUGGGGUAAUGGCCCACCAAGGCAACGACGGGUAGCCGGCCUGAGAGGGCGACCGGCCACACUGGGACUGAGACACGGCCCAGACUCCUACGGGAGGCAGCAGUGGGGAAUAUUGCACAAUGGGCGAAAGCCUGAUGCAGCGACGCCGCGUGAGGGAUGACGGCCUCGGGUUGUAAACCUCUUCUAGCUCCGACGAAGCGAAAGUGACGGUAGGAGCAGAAGAAGCACCGGCCAACUACGUGCCAGCGGCCGC
rnacentral:rRNA from 1 species